UUCAUUGCAUGGGAACACUCUCCAUCUACUAGACAUGCAUGAAUUAGGUGGGUUGUGCAUUUGUAUAAUUAUAGCUAUUAGGUUCAUAAUUAACAGUGUUGUCGAAAAUUACCCGCUAUACGAUUAUGCUGUGGAUCGGAUCCACAGCAUAAUCGUAUAGCGGGUCAUUUUUGUGGAGUAAAAUAUUCGUUAUUUUUUCUUGGGCUGGCCAUGGGUUAUAUACAGUGCAUCGAGUAGAUGUGAGUAUAGUUGUACUUAAAUGUAUCUCACAGAUUGAUUCAUUCUCAACAUUGGAAAAUUUUAUAUCCAUGGUACAAACACAGUACUAGUACUAGCGAUAGUACUGUGUUUGUACCAUGGAUAUAUAUGUAGCCUCAACACAACAAGAUAGUAGUUUUAAAUUUGGCAGAUUUUGUUUCAUUGUCGAAUAAAACCGAGCAAAAAUCUAAUCUGUGUACAUGCAUGGAUGAGUUCAACAUGCAGACUGAAUGUCACGAUUGGAUUGCUGUAACAGUUGUAUGAAAUGGCCAAUGUCUAUAUAGGUUAUAGAUUUAAUAUAGGUGUAUAUAGUGGUGCUGUCUUGUUUGUGGCUACUACCACAUUCAGAGCUCAGAAGUCACAACUCUCAGCAAGCAUCUUUACCCAUUCUACUCCCACAACAACAAAAAGGGUCAUUGGAUAUACAGUCUAUUUGAUCAUACUGACCACAUGCAGCUAGCUGUGAGGCUGCCAAUUUGUGAUGUAAAAACACAGGUAUACAUCAAGGUAAUAUAUUAUGGUCCGGAUCAGAGCUUAUCGUUUGCUACUUGUUUAACGUUAUUGUAGUACAGGUAAGUAUAUCAUAUAGGUAAGGUAAGGUAGCUAUGGCUUCAGCAGAUGUGUCCUUUCAGGAGGGUCUUAUUGGUGUGCAGUUGGUUGUGAGUUCUUGUGAGUUCUCUUAUAGUGAUGGCCUCAGUUCAUUACAAUUGACCUGGAAAGUGUCUAGUUUCAGAGGCAAUUUCUGUGCUUCUUGCAAUUGAUUAUCCCUAUAUACGUACUAUAAUUAUGAGGUGUCAUUGAAAGGCAGUCCACAAUGUUAGGGUUAUAGGGUUAGCAUUUAGGUUUUGUUACUGUGGUGGUACAUGUGUAUACUAGUGGGAGGGUCACUAGUUGAUGCUGGAUCCCUGGCCCUUACUGCCAUGUAGCUCACCUUUUGGGGGGAGGGGGGUGUACUCAUUGCAUGCUUUCCUAGACUUCACCUUUCUCAGAAGUGGUGGGAAUUAGAUUCAUGUGGUGGCUCAAUAGCUAGCAUGGCUGGUGGCUGUUAGACUGGGGCCAUGCACUUGUCUGUGGUAGCAAGAUGUGGCAGAGUAAGCACAUUUGCUGUGUUUGUGGUAACCUUAUCUACUUUACAUCUACUCUGUACACACACACACCAGAAGGUUAUACCCAUGUACUACUAUUUUAGCUGAACUUGUUGACAAUUAAUGAUUACUUCUAGCUGGUUUUUAAUAGUCAUUGGAGACUAGGAGGCAAACUUUCUGUGACUCUCUAGCUACUUAUACUAGUAGUAUAGCUUUCAUUAACCAACCUGCGCAUGAUCCCCAGCAAUCUCCUCCAUUCUGUUUUCAGUGCAUAUACUUUUUACUAGAUUCCUAUGCAAGCUAGAUACAUUACCGCUAACCCUUGCUAAUCCACACAGCUAACCAGAUAUUAUAAGCUCAGUAAAGCCAGAGGUAAGUUGUAUGGUAACCUGAGCAAAUAACCCUAUAGUCCAACCUCAUUUGCACACACACCAUGUGCUGUAUACUUUUUCUGAUUUUGAGGCCAUAAGAAUCACUAAAAGUUCAGCCCUGGCAUUAAGGUUGCUGGAAAACACUAUAGUGAUUCCUACUGCAUGUGACCUCUUCUGCACAUGAUUAUAACACCCAGUUCUACACACAUGUGCAGAGAAGGUCAAACAUGUGGUAUAUAUGAAUCACUGCAAAUUCAAUUUACUGUGUCUGCACGUUAUGAAAUGUUACAAAUAUACACUAAUCUCAAAUAUACACUGAACUAUACCCAGAGGAGGUUCGGACACUGAACUAAUAUAUACUGAACUACAUCCAGAGGAGGUUCGGACACUGAACUAAUAUACACUGAACUACACCCAGAGGAGGUUCGGACACCGCUACGAAUCACUACAACAAAUCACUACAAGUUCGAUGUACUGUGUCUGCAUGUUAUAAAUGACAUUGAUCUACAUCAAAAUGAAGGAAGUCUCUUGCUCUAUGCUGAUGAUCUUCUUUACCAUCCUAUUCAAUCUCCUGAAGAUUAUCUAAAAUUGCAAGGAGAUAUUAACCAACUCCAAGCAUGGUCUGAAACAAAUGUACUCUUUUUUAACCAAUUAAAGCAAGUGUAAAUACAUGACUAUAUCAAGAAAAUUCAACCCACCACUUCCCAACAUGUGUCUCAAUAUCAGUGGACGUCCCCUACUUAAAGUUGACCACUACAAGUACCUUGGCGUGUGGAUCUCUCAUGACCUCUUGGCGUGUGGAUCUCUCAUGACCUCUCAUGGUCAAAACACAUAUAGAAGGAAUGUGCAGAAAUGCCUGCAAGUAGGUUGGUAUAAUUUACCGACAGUUCUAUGGCCACUUGUCACUAGAAUGUUUAAGACAACUCUACAUCUCACUUGUGAGAUCAAAAAACUGGAAUAUGCUGCCCCUGUUUGGGAUCCACACCAAAAAACAAAUUCUCACAAAAUAGAAGAAGUACAAAAGUUUGCCCUUAAAAUGUGCACAAAACUUUGGAAUAGGGACUAUGACUCCCUAUUAAGAAAAAAAAUUACCUGACCAGAAAUGAACACUGAACUUGUAGUGAUUCGUACAUGUCCAAAGUAACCCUACACCCUACACAAUACACAUCCAUGCACACUAUACACGUACACUACACCCUGCCCCAGUUAUAUAGUCCGAGAGCCUUUGUGCUGAUGUAUUGCUUAGAAACUGGUGUUCAGCUCUUACCCAUUUACCGUAUAGCGGGUAAUUUUCGGGGGAGAAAAUAUUCGUGGUUCAGCAAUAUUGAGACAUUUCGUGGGUAAUAUUUUCGUGGUUGGAGCUUGCACUGCAGGUAAAGGUAGGCAAGGUCGCUUCAUUCGUGGGUAAAAUAUUCGUGGUCAGACCUCCAACCACGAAAACCACGAAUAUUUUGCCCCACGAAAAUUACACGCUAUUACCAUACUUAACCCACCUUGACCACAUCCUGCUGAUAAAGUCAUGUGUGGUAAAACAAAAUUAUGGCAACCACCAGGUCCCCAUGUGUAUAUGUAGUACCAAUUAACCUGUUGUAAAGAUUGCUAAAUAGAUCUUUUGCCCUAUAAUCAUUGCUGGCCCACUCAGUAUAGUUCUUAGCUCUGAGUGCCAGUUGCGUACCCAUACAGUGCACAUUUUAUUAACCGAGUCGCGUAGACGGUCGCCGAUGAUAGUAGUUCGCUGAGGUGUCUGUCUUGAGUCUUCUCACCUGGAUGCCGAAGGGUUGUGUUUGCAGCAUCAAUAUAUAGCCAAGUAAUUUCUUGUUGAAUAGAAGCGAGCAAAGGCUAAGAAGCUUGAACUUGCACGUUACCUACAGAAGUGCUAGCUUUUAUAGGCUAGCCACAUACAGGUUUGAUUAGAGGCAUUUUAUGGCCUACCACAACGCCUUAUCACAGUGAGUUUCACAUCAGUAAACUGCAAUCUUAAUUUGAUUGGCUUUGUAUAGCAAUGUAUACUGCUGAUUUUAUGCCGCUCCUUCUAUUUUUGAUAAAAUAAUGACACUUCUGGUCAAGGUUUUAGUACUUCAUGCAGUGCUCUAGUUAAGGUUGCCGUUCUUGGUGACCUUUCCUCCAUUGUUUUAUUGUUUUGACUAGCUCCUAAUCAUGUGUGCACAUGCAAUAUAUACUUAUGCGGUAUAUCAUGAGUUUAGCAUUACCAUAUACACACGCUUGCGUACGCACACCAAACACACACAUUCAAUAGAAUAACUCCUAAAGGUGAGUCUAAAAUAUGGACUUAUGCAUGCCUUAAUUGAUAACACUCUUUGAAGUUCUUCUCUUAAAAGUCCCAGCAGAAGUGUUGUCCACUUUAACGUAUCUUUAUCACGCAUGCAGGGUUGGCUACCUCGAAAUUUUUGGUCUGGCCAAUUAAGGCAACUCCAUGCUGGAGUUGCUGUUCUUCCCUUUGCUACAUGUGUAUUUAUAGCCUCGUUGUCUCCAAAAUAACGCUAGGUCGCCAGUUUUCGUUCCCAGCUAUAAUUAUAGGUCGCCAACUGACAAUUUAUAGCGUAAUUUUGGAGACAACUCGGCCUGGGAACGAGGCUAUACAUGUAUUUGCUACAAUACAUAUAGGUGUAGUUAGUACAUGUACAUGCUUCUUGUGGGUGGUUUGUUAUGACUCCUGUAAUCAGAUAAACCUGCAUGUGCUCUUACAUUGAAUGCUCUUACAUGUGUAUAAGCAUCUUGUUAAGAUCCUUAUAAGGGUCUUAACAAGAUGCUCAUAGAGCAUUUGCCCCGUGCGUUGAGCACAGCAGCAAACAGGUUAUAACUUUUCACCGUAACAAUCUUAAUGUUAGGAUUGAAUGACCGUGAAUCUAGAAAGCAUCGAUUAGAAAAAACAGUGUAUUUUGUCGCCUUCGAAGAUUGCCUACAAGUUUCUACUAUUUCUUCAACCACUGUCUCAGUUAAAGCAGUUCAUGAAAGUAUCUAGUUCACUCAAACAGCUCAUUUUUAUAUCCACACACAUUCACAAACCGACACACACACACUAAUCACUUGGUGCGCACGCACGGGGUAAUUAUGACUUGUUCACGCAGCAUUCUGUGCACAUGCACACAAUACCUACAUCCAUAGGAUUAUACUGCACUCACACACAUUAAGGAUGUUUUUCCUCUGUAGGCUAUAUAAUAAUAAUUAUGGCCAAACUGAUAUGCCCACAUUAGAAUUACCGAAGCCUUCCAGUACCAUGAUAAUUUUGCAUGUAUAUAGCCAUGGCCCAGUGCAUGUUGGUCGUAUAAAAACGUGUCAUUAAUUGCUGUAUUAUAUUUUUUACUACAUCCAGGUUAUUGACCCCUCCCUCUGUCGGCCUCGAUGAAAAAAACAAACUGCAAUUACUGGAAACUUAUUCAUGCAAUAAUUAUGGCUGUUUUUUGCUACAAUUAUUUAUUACAAUCAUGCAUAUUUUAUCAUCAUUAAUUUAACCACAGAAUAUAAUAAUAUAUUUUAUUAA